UACGUAGGGGGCAAGCGUUGUCCGGAUUUAUUGGGCGUAAAGAGCGUGUAGGCGGCCUGGUAGGUCAGCUGUGAAAACUCGAGGCUCAACCUCGAGACGUCGGUUGAAACCACUUGGCUAGAGUCCGGAAGAGGAGAGCGGAAUUCCCGGUGUAGCGGUGAAAUGCGCAGAUAUCAGGAGGAACACCGGUGGCGAAGGCGGGUCUCUGGGAAGUAACUGACGCUGAGAAGCGAAAGCAUGGGUAGCAAACAGG
rnacentral:rRNA from 1 species